rnacentral:lncRNA from 1 species
CCCAAUACACGAGAGGGGGACUAUAUAAGAAUCAAUGAAGCUGUCACUAUCACGAACCACCCCACGAUCUGGCAUAUUGGGUACAAUCGCAGAUAAAUACGGUAUAAGCACCACGCCUACACAAUACCUAUCAUUUACCCAUGGAUCCGAUGGAUAAACGCUAUACGAUCCUAAGCAUGUAUAUAGAUCGAAUCUAACUAAGCCAAGUACAUAACUAUGAUAAACUAAGAACAAUAUAAUCUUGAAUAUAAGCAAGUAGAGCAAAGUCAUAAGCAAUAUAUUGAAGUAGAACAAAGUCAUAUUCAUAAUAUUGAAGAACAAAGAUAAUUAGAAAGCAAUUAGAAGCACAAUUAGAGAAUUACCAAGAAUCCUCCUGACAGAUCCGGAAACCAAUCGAAGAUUGACUCCUUCUAGUUCUAAUUCUAUGUAGCUAUGCUAAUCUAGAUGUCUAAUUGAUGUGGUGGCUCUAAUCUUGAUCAGAGACUUCUUCUCCCUUGAUGGAACAAUGAAUUAGGGUUGAGAGGCUCUCUCCUCCAGGGGCCAGGGGGUCUGGUUUUAUAGUCCCUUCAAGUGAAUAUGGGCCAUUGGAUCAAACCGACAUAGAUUGUAUGGUUUAGAUUUAUCCUUUAGGUCGGUGGAGAUCUCCCGCAAAGCAGAGUCCUGAUUGGACACAGGAGGUCGGCGGGCGCCCAGUAGGACAGGGCGGGCGCCCUGCCUCUGGCCCCGUUUCGCCUCCGCUUCGGUCUUGUGGCUUCUGGAGUCUUCUAGAUGUAAGAUAAUUGCGCAGCACGUUAAUAUCUUUACGUAAUCCUGACAUGUGGGCCUUUCUUCCAUAUUUCCUGAUAACCCCCUGCAGAAAUAGACAAACACCAAAACUCGUGGAAUUCUGUCAGAUAAAACCCUAAGUCUGGAUGUUGAUUUCAUUUGGAUCCUUUUCUUUAUUUAUUUGAUAAUUAAAUUUGAUACUUAAGGACCGUCAACAAACUCCCCCAAGCUUACCUCUUGCUCGUCCCUGAGCAAGGAUAGACUCAGCUAUGGAUCAUAAGUUGUUGUAAUAUCUUUUAAAAAUUUGACGGUACACAUGUUUUUAAAUAAGAUCUCAUCUCUGAGUAAGAGUAAACUGUCAAGACUUAAAACUUACUUACUUUACCUUCACCAUGGGACUUGUAACUGUCACUUCUGUCUUGAGUGGUUAAAAGAUAGAACAGUCUAGCCAAGUGCCAUGUCUCUUAUUCUUGAUCAGCUAUAGCUCUGGGGUUUUUUGCAGAUUUUCAAAUAAAACUCAGAAAUUCCUUGUAUGAAUCUCUCAGGUCUCUCUUUUGUGGUAUUUUUGGAUCCUUACCAAGGCAGUGAUGGUAUAUGCCUUCUCUCAAGAUAUGUAGUAUUUGUGGUAUGAGGCAUAGUGACAUUGCCUUCUCUCUCACCCUACUCUAAUAAGGCUUUAAUAUCUGGAGCUCAUAGGUGGGAGAUAAAGUAUACAUACUUAUAAGACAUUUAUUGCAUAGUCAAACCAUGGAUCCAAAGAAACAAAUCAAUAAGCCAAAUCAAGAUGUGCAUGUGUGGUGAAUGAAUGGUGUAUGGUGAUGAUAGUGAUAACAAUGGUGAAAACAAUGGUGGUGGAAGUCUAAUUCUACUUUGCUCUUUGAGGGGAUACAUACUUUCCUUGCUUUUGAAACUUUAUGAGGAGAAUGAGAUGCUCUAUCUUUUUCUUGUCUCUCAGAUGGGUAUCUUGUACCCCUAAUUCUACUGUCGGACACUUGUCCAUUUUUACCUCUCGUCUCACUUUUUCUUUUCUUUCGAGGUUCCGAGCACUUGCUCCUUUUUAUUUCCUCGUAUUUUUUUUCUCUUUUUUAGAGCACUCAUCUCUUGAGAUAAGAUAGCAAGUGGUAGUAACAAGAUAACUUGAGCAUUUAUUUCACAAGGAAAAACAGAAAUAUUUUUGGCUAUUCUCUCCCGGAUUAGGAGUAGAAUAUUUUUGAGCAAUUCUGGAGAUGGAAAUGGAUGGAUAUAUGUGGAUGGUACUUCCGGAGUAGAAGUAGCAUAUAUGAGUGAACGUGCAAGUGAAUCUUGAUUUAACCACAUGACAAGGUCCUAAGGGUCUACCCAGCUUGACCACACUCAAUGCUCAUAAGCAGUAAAUAAUAAAUGUGUGGCUCAAAGUCUAGCAAGCAUGUAUAUAUGGUUAUGGUAGGAAUUUAAACUCUCAUCAUACAGGAACUCAUCAUGCAACAUUUUAAAGAUUUUCAAAGAUAAAAUUCUUCAAAAUUCUAGCAUCUCUAGGAAUAGAUAAACAACAGCUCAACCUUCCCAUAUCGUAUCCGUUAAAAACUUAGACUUCAGAUUAAGUUUUCAUCCCACAAGUUUAGGUCUAGAGCAAGCUUUAACUUAUAACAGUUAUAUCUAAACUUGAGAGAGAACUUAAAAUUUGCAAAUUAGGCAGAGCAACUAUUUAUCAUAUCCAUGCUUAAGUUUUAUUUAGAUACAGAUUAGCAUAGCUACUUUAUUUAUUUAUUAGACACACUAAGCAAAAGACAUAUAUAUAAGCAUAAAAUCUUUAUUUGGUUUUCCAUAGUUUAUGUGUAUUUAUAUUCUAAAAUAAUAUAAUUAUAAAGAUAGAUAGAAAUACUUAUCGAGAUAAAUGGGGGUGCUCUCCCCCAAGCUGAAUUUUGACGUAAUUUCUCUUGAUGUAGCUAGCAGGUGGUAGAGGUGUAUUUGAAAGUCAGCAGCAUUCUGACAGCGAUUAGAAUGUCCUCCGUCUACUAGUCUUCUUAAAUUCUGUGGAGCUCAAAUAGACAACAAAGCUUGUGGAACUGAUUAAGUGUUAGCAUAAAUAUCUAGCCUUUAUCAGGUUGAGACUCCUUAAUAAUCAUUACUCCCUAUUUUUAUAUUUUUAUUUUUAUAAAGCAGAAAAAUAUUUAUUUUAUUUUUAUGCCACCACAGUGAAUGUACUUAUGGGUUUUAUGCCACUCGUAUACUCACAUGGGGCUUACUGUUUUUCACAUUUUUAUUUUCUUUUUAGGAUAGCAUGAACAUAAUUAACUAAGUAAACUAUUUUAAAUAAUUGAAAGGGAAAGGUAACUACCAAGUUUACCUCUUGGCAAGGCGUUCGGUGUUUUUAAGUCCUCCGAACGGGACUCUCCAAUUUCUUAAUCGUCCAGAGGUUCGUUGGGUGGCGUAGUCGGUACUUCCGGCAGCGCCUCCUCUUCUUGUAUAGUUAUCUUCAUUUUCCACACCUGACUUGGUGCUUCAAUCUCCUCUGGAUAAUUCUGUUUAAACUCAACGUCUUCUGAUCUUACAACUUCUCCUUCAUAGUCUGCCCAUCCGUCCUUGAUGAUCUGCCUCCUCUGGUUGCGGUUGCGUCAUUUUCUUACCUGCUUAGAUUCUUCAAUGAUAUAGUUAGGGUCAGUAAAAUAACGGCGUACCUUCUCUGAGGGGAAGUGCAUAUGGACUUCUCCGGUUCCAAUGUAGAUAAUUGCUUUAACGGUGCUGAGGAAAAGUCUUCUAAGGAUGAUGGGUGGAUCAUACUCGUCUUCUCCCAUGUCAACAACUUGAAAGUCUGUGUAGACAAAGUGAUCGUCUAUUUUGACUGGGACAUCAGUUACUGUUCCUUUGACUUCUCGAAAUGUCUGAUCUGCCAUCUGGAGCUGAAUGUAUGUUGGUCUUAGUGGCAUGGUCCCGAACAAGAGCCGAUAGGUGACUGUGGCCAUUAUGUUGACGCCCGAUCCAGUGUCGCAAAUCGUCUUGUAGAAGUUGUAUCCAUUUAUGGAGCAGUAGAUGCUUGGCAUUCCUGGGUCGUCCUUCUUGGUCAAAAACGGUGGCUUAAGUUGAUGAUCUUGGCCUCCAUAAACUACAGUGACCAUCUUAGCUAACUCGGUCCACACUUGCUUGUUCCUAUUUCUCCUGUUGGUCCUAUUCCUUGAUUUACGUCUGGAUUGAUCUUGAAUUUGUGUAGUCUUGUUCUUGAAGAAAAAUGUCUCCUUCUUCCCUUUGACGUAGAAACUGAUCUUGGCAGCACUGGCGUAGAUGAUAGCUCCCGUGGUGUUCAAGAAUGGCCUCCCUAGGAUGAUAGGUGCUCCCUCAUCAUUUCCGGUCUCUACCACUACGAAGUCUGCUGGGGCAUAUAAGGUAACAACUCGGACACAAAGGUUCCUCACUAUUCCUUUUGGAAAAGUUAUCGUCUGAUCUGCAAACUGCAAACACAUGGUUCUCUCUAAUAAAGGAUAUGUAAAGAAUUUUUCAUAGAGUACCCUGGGUAUAAUGUUGACGCUAGAGCCAAAGUCACAGAGUGCUUCUGGGAAGUCCACCAUGUCGAUGGAGAUCGGGAUGACGGGGCGUCCUGGAUCGCCUCUCUUGACCGGCAGACGGUCAGUAGAAAAUUCAGUGACGGGGUUACUCCAAUUACCUGCAUCAAACACGUCUACAAGAUUUGCAGAUUCUAAUCCUUCCGGUUGUGAUGGUAUACCGGGGUUAGUAGUAGGAACAGUAGUAGCUAUUUGAUUUAACUGAGAUUCAAUCAUUUUAUUCAAGCUAAUUUGAUUCUUGAUGGCAGUAGAAAAAUUAUCCAUUCUAUUAUUUAUAUUUUAUAGCAUUUUAUCAUUAGAUGCCGAUUUCUUAGAUAGAUUAUCCAUUAGCUUGCCUUGAUUAGACACUAACUCUCUCAAAGGUGGAAAAUUAUUAUUAUUGUUGUAAGAAUUGUUACCUUGAUAAUUACCUGAGUAGUUAGGUCUCUGUUGAUUCCAACCUUGAUUUUGUUGAGGACGGUUGUAGUAGUUGUUGUUGUUGUUGAUGUAGUUCACAUCCUCAAGCAUCUCAGGGCAGUGGUUGCCUGAGUGUCCAGUGUCUCCACACUCCUCACAAGUCAUGUGAGAGUCGUAGAUGUGCAUAACUUCUUUCAUGUCUCCAGCUCUAUCAUCGAGCUUCUUCAUGAGCAGGUCUAGCUUUGCAGACAGCAUGUCUACCUCCUUCAGCUGAUGCAUACCUCCACCUCUCUUGCGUGUCUGGGUCCUCUCUUCAUUCCAGCUUUGGUUGGACGCCAUCUUCUCCACAAGAGCUGUGGCUUGUGGUAUAGUAAGUGAUAAGAACGCUCCUCCAGCUGCAGCAUCCAUAGUCUCUCGGGCACUGUUGCUGAGCCCAUGAUAGAAUGUCUGCAUCAAUAGCCAACUCUCCAUUCCAUGAUGGGGACAUUCUAGGAUGUAGUCUUGAAAGCGCUCCCAUGCUUCUGGAACAGAUUCAUCAUUUUGUUGCUGAAAACUUGUAAUCUUCCCACGGAGAGCAAUGGUCUUGCCCAUGGGAAAGAACUUAGCCAGGAAGUUUGUUGAGCAAAGUGCCCACGUAGUAUUCUUCUCCUUUGUAGCGUAGAACCACUGCUUCGCUCUUCCUAACAGUGAGAAUGGGAAGAGGCGAAGUAGUAUAGCGUCUUUGGAAACUCCUGCUAUGGUGAAUGUGUUGCAAAUCUUCAGGAAGUGUUGUAAAUGAGCAUUAGCAUCUUCGUGUGCCUUCCCACAGAACUGGUUGGAUUGCACCAUGUUGAUAAGUCCAGGCUUGAGCUCAAAGUUGCCAUCGAUCACUGCAGCAGGUCCAGUGCGGAUGUUGUCCGUAGUGGGAGCUGAGAACUCGCGGAUCGAUUUGUUCGCCAUGGCUUCGAACUCUGAAGACAAGUUCCGGUGAUCUUCUUGAUUGGAUGAAACUUCUUCGUGAAGUGUUGAUGAUUUCUUCUUGAGCUUGGCCCUCGUCUUCUUGAAUAAUGCUUCGGGAUUGUCAACAAAAUUUCCUGGAAGAUGUCUUCUAUUCAUACAUUCCCCUGCAUAAGAUAAAAUAGAAAAAUAUCGGGGUAAAACUGUAUGAGAGAAUAGAUAAGCUCAAUCAUAUUAGUGAUGCGAAUGAUAACUCAAAAUCUUUUAUUCCAUUCCUGAUUGGUAAUCAACCUUCCCCGGCAACGGCGCCAAAAAUGCUUGUUGGGUAUUCUUAACAUCAUUACCAAAAGUAGACUAAGUUCUCUAAAUCUAGUAACGGUGCCAGAAAUGCCAAACCUAUCCCUUACACCACUUAAGCCAAGUUGUCAUCCCCAGCAUGAUAUAAGAGACGCGGUAUUGAAAUAUGCAAUUGCUCUUCUAAAUAAAUAAUGAAUGGGAUCUGCAAGCGCACAGAUUAAUACCGAUGCAGCAUUUUAACCGGGAAGUAUUCCAGGUAUCGUUAUUUAUAUUUUUACCACUGGGAAGGGAUUAGCGAUCAUCACUAUUGAUUACAGAAUAGAAUAUGAGAUUGAGCAUCUAUCAUUGCAUGUAUAAUUGAGAACAUUAUAUCUAACUCUUCAUACAGGGAUAAGUGUCACAUAAAAGAUAUAUGAAAUAAUAAUAGUGACAAGGAUAACUAAUCUGAUCUAGCCACAUAAUAAAUAUGAUAAGCACCUCAAUUAGAUACUCUAGAAAGUCAUUAGCAUGGUAUUAGAACGAACUACAAGAAUAUUCCCUAAGUUAUUCUUAACUAUAUAGUCUAGCAUAUUAUAGUUAGUGCAAGCAUACUUAGCAAUCAUUGUGAGACAAGACUACGCCCAUGCAUAGUGAUAUUAGCAAGGAAUAUGAGAAACAUAGCAAUCACACCCCUGUAAUAAUGUUGCUCUGCCAGCCCAAUACACGAGAGGGGGACUAUAUAAGAAUCAAUGAAGCUGUCACUAUCACGAACCACCCCACGAUCUGGCAUAUUGGGUACAAUCGUAGAUAAAUACGGUAUAAACACCACGCCUACACAAUACCUAUCAUUUACCCAUGGAUCCGAUGGAUAAACGCUAUACGAUCCUAAGCAUGUAUAUAGAUCGAAUCUAACUAAGCCAAGUACAUAACUAUGAUAAACUAAGAACAAUAUAAUCUUGAAUAUAAGCAAGUAGAGCAAAGUCAUAAGCAAUAUAUUGAAGUAGAACAAAGUCAUAUUCAUAAUAUUGAAGAACAAAGAUAAUUAGAAAGCAAUUAGAAGCACAAUUAGAGAAUUACCAAGAAUCCUCCUGAC